UACGUAGGGAGCAAGCGUUGUCCGGAAUCAUUGGGCGUAAAGCGCGUGUAGGCGGCUUGGUAAGUCUGCUCUGAAAGCCCGGGGCUCAACCCCGGGAGGCGGGUGGAUACUGCUGAGCUCGAGUCCGGAAGAGGCGAGUGGAAUUCCUGGUGUAGCGGUGAAAUGCGCAGAUAUCAGGAGGAACACCGAUGGCGAAGGCAGCUCGCUGGGACGGUACUGACGCUGAGACGCGAAAGCGUGGGGAGCGAACAGG
rnacentral:rRNA from 1 species